CUUGUUGAGCUGUCUGUUGAAACUGCUGACUAGCUUGAGCUGGUUGUUGAAACCGUUGGCUAGCUUGCUGUUGACUAGCUUCUUGAGCUGGUUGUUGAAACCGCUGAGGAAACUGUUGACUAGCUUGUUGAGCUGGCACUUGAAACCGCUGGUCAGUUUGCUGGAACAUCAAAGCUUGAGGAUUCUGGGGCAGAUUACUCAACUGUGGAACAGCAUGACAGAAAGCACAAAACCACACACAAAGUGCUAAAGAC